AGAGUUUGAUCCUGGCUCAGAUUGAACGCUGGCGGCAUGCCUUACACAUGCAAGUCGAACGGUAACAGGGAGCUUGCUCCGCUGACGAGUGGCGAACGGGUGAGUAAUACAUCGGAACGUGCCCAGUAAUGGGGGAUAGCUCGGCGAAAGCCGGAUUAAUACCGCAUACGCCCUGAGGGGGAAAGUGGGGGACCGCAAGGCCUCACGUUAUUGGAGCGGCCGAUGGCUGAUUAGCUAGUUGGUAGGGUAAAGGCCUACCAAGGCGACGAUCAGUAGCUGGUCUGAGAGGACGAUCAGCCACACUGGGACUGAGACACGGCCCAGACUCCUACGGGAGGCAGCAGUGGGGAAUUUUGGACAAUGGGGGAAACCCUGAUCCAGCAAUGCCGCGUGUGCGAAGAAGGCCUUCGGGUUGUAAAGCACUUUUGUCAGGGAAGAAAUCCUUUGGGCUAAUACCCUAGGGGGAUGACGGUACCUGAAGAAUAAGCACCGGCUAACUACGUGCCAGCAGCCGCGGUAAUACGUAGGGUGCAAGCGUUAAUCGGAAUUACUGGGCGUAAAGCGUGCGCAGGCGGUUGUGUAAGACAGGUGUGAAAUCCCCGGGCUUAACCUGGGAAUUGCAUUUGUGACUGCACGACUAGAGUGUGUCAGAGGGGGGGGUGGAAUUCCACGUGUAGCAGUGAAAUGCGUAGAUAUGGUGGAGGAACACCAAUGGCGAAAGGCAGCCCCCUGGGAUAACACUGACGCUCAUGCACGAAAGCGUGGGGAGCAAACAGGAUUAGAUACCCUGUAGUCCACGC
rnacentral:rRNA from 1 species